rnacentral:rRNA from 1 species
GACGAACGCUGGCGGCGUGCCUAAUACAUGCAAGCAGGACGCAGUUGCGAACGGGUGAGUAACGCGUAGGUAACUGCCUAUUAGAGGGGGAUAACUAUUGGAAACGAUAGCUAAUACCGCAUACCAUCAGAUGGACCUGCGUUGUAUAGGAUAGUAGGUAGGGUAACGGCCUACCUAGGCAACGAUACAUAGCCGACCUGAGAAGGUGAUCGGCGACACUGGUACUGAGACGCGGCCCAGACUCCUACGGGAGAGGGCAGUAAGGAAUCUAAGGCAAUGAGGGAGACCGUGACGAAGCAACGCGGAGUGAGUGAAGAAGGUUUUCGGAUCGUAAAGCUCUGUUGUUAAGGAGGCGGUGCUUAACCAGAAAGGGGCGGCUAACUACGUGCCAGCCGCCGCGGUAAUUC